AAUCUAACUCUAAAAAAACUCCAACCGCAUCUCUUCUCUCUAGCUCUCUCCGGUCGCCUUCAUCAUCGUUUCCAUCAUCGAUGCUAAACUGGCCAAGCUGUCCCCACCACCGCCGCAUGAAACAGCUGCCGACAACCACCCCCAUCGUCUCCAUCGCUGGUGACAAGCGGGCCAAGCUGUUCGUACCACAGCCGCGUGAAACAGCCACCGACAACCACCAAACAGCCAGCGACGCCUUUUAUCCCAACCAAACAGCUGCCGACAACCGUAACAGUCGGCGAAAUCUCCAACACUAAUUUGAAAGAAAGAAAUAAGAAAUAUUAGCUGCUCAAAGUGCAUCAAUUGUGGAAGGAGGAUGAGAAAGGAAUUGGACUUAUUGAUGAAGCAUGUAUACAAGAAAUCAUCUUCAAAUGAUGAACAUCCAUCUCAAGAAGACGUUCAAGCUUAUGAGGAUGAAAGUGAUGAUAACUUUGACAACAUGAAUGAAAGUGAUUCUAAUCCUAAUAACGUGGAUGAGAGUGAUUCUGACCGUGAUGGUUGGUAUUUUUAUCGAGGAUUCAAGUUUGAAAUAUUUUGUUUUGGACCAUUUAAGAAUUAUAAAUUAUUGAUGUGGAUGUUAUGAAUUAUGUUUUUUUGUUAGCUGUAAUGGUGUACAUUAGACUUGUAUUGAAUGAUGUUUUUGAGAAUUAUUGGAGGUUGUGAGUAGAUUUUUGACUAAUUGUAAAAUGUUUCUAGAAA